rnacentral:sRNA from 1 species
UAAAAGUAAAGCCGAAUGUAUGGGGAAAUCUAUGCCUGCAUAAGGGUUUUCCCAUACAUUUGGCGCGCCACCAUAAUGAUGCAAUAACAUAAAUAAGCAUAUUGCUUAUUUAUGUUGGCGAUUAGCCCGGAUUGCGAAUGUAGGUGGCGAUUGCAAGAGUGCGGAGCACGGAGCAAUCGACUUUUA